AUUGAACGCUGGCGGCAGGCCUAACACAUGCAAGUCGAACGAGUGGCGGACGGGUGAGUAAUGUCUGGGGAACUGCCUGAUAGAGGGGGAUAACUACUGGAAACGGUAGCUAAUACCGCAUACCAUCAGAUGUGCCCAGAUGGGAUUAGCUCGUUGGUGGGGUAAAGGCUCACCAAGGCGACGAUCCCUAGCUGGUCUGAGAGGAUGACCAGCCACACGGGGACUGAGACACGGCCCAGACUCCUACGGGAGGCAGCAGUGGGGAAUAUUGCACAAUGGGCGCAAGCCUGAUGCAGCCAUGCCGCGUGUAUGAAGAAGGCCUUCGGGUUGUAAAGUACUUUCAGCGGGGAGGCGUUACCCGCAGAAGAAGCACCGGCUAACUCCGUGCCAGCAGCCGCGGUAAUAC
rnacentral:rRNA from 1 species